CCUACGGGGGGCAGCAGUAGGGAAUAUUGCACAAUGGAGGAAACUCUGAUGCAGCGACGCCGCGUGAGUGAUGAAGGACUUCGGUUCGUAAAGCUCUGUCGUAUGGGAAUAAGAAAGUGAAGGUACCAUGCAAGAAAGGAUCGGCUAACUUCGUGCCAGCAGCCGCGGUAAGACGAGGGAUCCUAGCGUUGUUCGGAAUCAUUGGGCGUAAAGCGGGUGUAGGUGGCUCUAUAAGUCAAGUGUGAAAGCCCCGGGCUUAACCUGGGAAGUGCAUUUGAUACUGCAGAGCUUGAGUGCUAGAGAGGUCAUUAGAAUUCCUGGUGUAGUGGUGAAAUACGUAGAUAUCAGGAGGAAUACCGGAGGCGAAGGCGGAUGGCUGGCUAGACACUGACACUGAGACCCGAAAGCGUGGGGAUCAAACAGGAUUAGAUACCCUGGUAGUC
rnacentral:rRNA from 1 species